AGUGAACGCUGGCGGUAGGCCUAACACAUGCAAGUCGAACGGCAGCACAGUAAGAGCUUGCUCUUACGGGUGGCGAGUGGCGGACGGGUGAGGAAUACAUCGGAAUCUACUUUUUCGUGGGGGAUAACGUAGGGAAACUUACUCUAAUACCGCAUACGACCUACGGGUGAAAGCAGGGGAUCUUCGGACCUUGCGCGAUUGAAUGAGCCGAUGUCGGAUUAGCUAGUUGGCGGGGUAAAGGCCCACCAAGGCGACGAUCCGUAGCUGGUCUGAGAGGAUGGUCAGCCACACUGGAACUGAGACACGGUCCAGACUCCUACGGGAGGCAGCAGUGGGGAAUAUUGGACAAUGGGCGCAAGCCUGAUCCAGCCAUACCGCGUGGGUGAAGAAGGCCUUCGGGUUGUAAAGACCUUUUGUUGGGAAAGAAAAGCAGCAGGUUAAUACCCCGCUGUUCUGACGGUACCCAAAGAAUAAGCACCGGCUAACUUCGUG
rnacentral:rRNA from 1 species